UACAGAGGUCUCAAGCGUUGUUCGGAUUCAUUGGGCGUAAAGGGUGCGUAGGCGGCGCGGUAAGUCGGGUGUGAAAUCUCGGAGCUUAACUCCGAAACUGCAUUCGAUACUGCCGUGCUUGAGGACUGGAGAGGAGACUGGAAUUUACGGUGUAGCGGUGAAAUGCGUAGAUAUCGUAAGGAAGACCAGUGGCGAAGGCGGGGUCUCUGGACAGUUCCUGACGCUGAGGCACGAAGGCCAGGGGGAGCAAAACGGGG
rnacentral:rRNA from 1 species